rnacentral:rRNA from 1 species
UACGGAGGGUGCAAGCGUUAUCCGGAUUCACUGGGUUUAAAGGGUGCGUAGGCGGCUCGAUAAGUCAGUGGUGAAAGCCCGCAGCUUAACUGCGGAACUGCCAUUGAAACUGCCGAGCUUGAGUAUCAUUGAAGUGGGUGGAAUGCAUCAUGUAGCGGUGAAAUGCUUAGAUAUGAUGCAGAACCCCGAUUGCGAAGGCAGCUCACUAAAUGGUAACUGACGCUGAGGCACGAAAGCGUGGGUAGCGAAUAGG